CUCGUAGGCGGUUCAACAAGUCGGUCGUGAAAGCCCGGGGCUCAACCCGGGACGCCGGUCGAAACUGUUGUGACUAGGGUCCGGUAGAGGUGAGUGGAAUUCUCGGUGUAGCGGUGGAAUGCGCAGAUAUCGAGAGGAACACCAGUAGCGAAGGCGGCUCACUGGGCCGGUACCGACGCUGAGGAGCGAAAGCAUGGGGAGCAAACA
rnacentral:rRNA from 1 species